rnacentral:rRNA from 1 species
GACGAACGCUGGCGGCGUGCCUAAUACAUGCAAGUCGAGCGGACAGAAGGGAGCUUGCUCCCGGAAGUUAGCGGCGGACGGGUGAGUAACACGUGGGCAACCUACCCUGUAGAUCGGGAUAACAUCGAGAAAUCGGUGCUAAUACCGGAUAAUCAUUUGAAGUGCAUGCUUCGAAUGUAAAAGAUGGCUCCGGCUAUCACUAUGGGAUGGGCCCGCGGCGCAUUAGCUAGUUGGUAAGGUAAUGGCUUACCAAGGCAACGAUGCGUAGCCGACCUGAGAGGGUGAUCGGCCACACUGGGACUGAGACACGGCCCAGACUCCUACGGGAGGCAGCAGUAGGGAAUCUUCCGCAAUGGACGAAAGUCUGACGGAGCAACGCCGCGUGAGUGAUGAAGGUUUUCGGAUCGUAAAGCUCUGUUGUUAGGGAAGAACAAGUGCCGUUUGAAUAAGGCGGCACCUUGACGGUACCUAACCAGAAAGCCACGGCUAACUACGUGCCAGCAGCCGCAGUAACAC